rnacentral:misc_RNA from 1 species
UGAACCUUAAUUGUCUGAAGGAUAUUGGUUGCAAUUUCUGGUGUCUAUUCUUAGUUGAUAAUUAAAUUAAUCCUAGAAUUGUUGCCUAUUCCUUUCAAACAAACUUGUGCAAUGAUAAUUCUUUUUGUCCUUUUGGGAUAUAAUGUGUCAGAUUGGCUGUUAUUUGGGUGAUCUUCCCAUUUAAUUGAAAGUGUUGUGAGCUUGAACUUAA